AUGAGACAGAUGAGCAGCUCUGGGGCCAUACCUGAGAUCGGGGGCUCUGCCAAGAAGCGGGUUCAGCUGCUUUCUCCAUCCUUGUGUCUCUGCAGUUCAGUGACCUCAACACGGGAGGAGAAAUGUGUGUGUCCCAGAAGCCCCACAUGUUGGUCAAGCCAGCUGAGAAGGUAUACAGUUUAUCAUUUACAUCUUUUAAUUGCACAUUCUCUUUCACUCCUCACCAUCAAACACACCUUAUGGCCAUGAACAUUUCUUGUUAUUCCACUUAAUGGAUACAGAAGAAGAGGGGAAGGGAAAUUAAUGUUCAAACUAACGAUCACCUCCUCUGGGAAGUAUUUGGCUUCGUGGCAGAUUAAGCCUAUUGGGCUGUAUGACGGGCAGUGGUUUGGGUGGGAGAUUCGUGCUUGGAUUAUUUUUUGUUAGCACCGCUGUUAAAUAUUUCACCUCUUUGAGAAUAAUUUCUUCAUAGAUAUAUAUAGUUGCUGGUUUUCAUGCUGGAUGAAAUAAUUCUGUGCCCAC
rnacentral:lncRNA from 1 species